rnacentral:lncRNA from 1 species
GGGCCAAACUAGAAAUUAAGGUGGCUGCCCAUUCCUUGCUUCAGAACAUUUGAAGCCUAUCAAGAGGCGGCACCUUAUCACUGUCAAACACAUAUACUGAGAAGCUAAAGAAGCUGCAUAUUGGAUGGUCUCUUUUGUUACCCAUUGUGGAUUGAUGGUUCUCUUGCCCUAGGGGCAUUUCGGGACAGGUUAUAACUUGAUUUCUUUGGACAUAUUCAUACCAGAACAUUGUGAAUCACCCGAUUUAGAAAAAAAAAAAACUUUGAUGGUCAAAAGCCCGUUGCAUGGAUUGGAGGAGGAUGGUUCAUGGAACUAAUUUGAUUAGAUCAGCUUCUUAGCUAGAAUCUAGCAUUAUGUAAUGCAAUAGAUUUGAUGCAGUGUAUCUUUCCAUCACCAACCGGCACAUUCUCUCUCUAGUAACAGCUGUAGAGAUACAGCAUGAGGAUUUGGUCAACGACUCCAUGGGAGAAACAAUGUCGGCAUAUUUUGGUAGGUAAGUUGAGCUUUCAAAGUGUUUCCAUUCUCAUAUAAAGUUCACAGCAAUCGCUUUGCCUGUUGUUAGGUACUGUCAUCAACUUGCAU